UAGCUAGUUGGUGAGGUAAAGGCUCACCAAGGCGACGAUCUGUAGCGGGUCUGAGAGGAUGAUCCGCCACACUGGAACUGAGACACGGUCCAGACUCCUACGGGAGGCAGCAGUGGGGAAUUUUGGACAAUGGGGGCAACCCUGAUCCAGCCAUGCCGCGUGAGUGAAGAAGGCCUUCGGGUUGUAAAGCUCUUUCGGCCGGGAAGAAAUCGCAUGGGCCAAUACCCUGUGCGGAUGACGGUACCGGCAUAAGAAGCACCGGCUAACUACGUGCCAGCAGCCGCGGUAAUACGUAGGGUGCGAGCGUUAAUCGGAAUUACUGGGCGUAAAGCGUGCGCAGGCGGUUUUGUAAGACAGGCGUGAAAUCCCCGGGCUCAACCUGGGAACUGCGUUUGUGACUGCAAGGCUAGAGUACGGCAGAGGGGGGUGGAAUUCCACGUGUAGCAGUGAAAUGCGUAGAGAUGUGGAGGAACACCAAUGGCGAAGGCAGCCCCCUGGGUCGAUACUGACGCUCAUGCACGAAAGCGUGGGUAGCAAACAGGAUUAGAUACCCUGGUAGUCCACGCCCUAAACGAUGUCAACUAGGUGUUGGGUGGGUAAAACCAUUUAGUACCGGAGCUAACGCGUGAAGUUGACCGCCUGGGGAGUACGGCCGCAAGGUUAAAACUCAAAGGAAUAGACGGGGACCCGCACAAGCGGUGGAUGAUGUGGAUUAAUUCGAUGCAACGCGAAAAACCUUACCUACCCUUGACAUGUCCAGAAGCCUGAAGAGAUUUGGGUGUGCCCGAAAGGGAACUGGAACACAGGUGCUGCAUGGCUGUCGUCAGCUCGUGUCGUGAGAUGUUGGGUUAAGUCCCGCAACGAGCGCAACCCUUGUCGUUAAUUGCCAUCAUUCAGUUGGGCACUUUAACGAGACUGCCGGUGACAAACCGGAGGAAGGUGUGGAUGACGUCAAGUCCUCAUGGCCCUUAUGGGUAGGGCUUCACACGUCAUACAAUGGUCGGUACAAAGGGUUGCCAAGCCGCGAGGUGGAGCCAAUCCCAGAAAGCCGAUCGUAGUCCGGAUCGUAGGCUGCAACUCGCCUGCGUGAAGUCGGAAUCGCUAGUAAUCGUGGAUCAGCAUGUCACGGUGAAUACGUUCCCGGGUCUUGUACACACCGCCCGUCACACCAUGGGAGCGGGUUCCGCCAGAAGUAGGUAGCCUAACCGCAAGGGGGGCGCUUACCACGGCGGGGUUCGUGACUGGGGUGAAGUCGUAACAAGGUAGCCGUAGGGGAACCUGCGGCUG
rnacentral:rRNA from 1 species